CAAACUUCAAACUGAUACAAUCCCAAUACUGUCAGUGGCUCAGUCCCUAGAAAGUCUUGAAGAAAAGCUUCAAGCCUGUUGAAAAAUCCACCAGAUACCCAUUUCCCCAUCUUACCAUUAGUUCAUCUUUCUCCCAGAUAAACUGCGAUUCAGACUCAUGGAUAUGAAAAAGACACAUUCUUGUUUACUGGGUAGAACUGCUAUCAUUCCCUGCUGUAUCCUGUUUUUCCUGCAGUUGAACCAAUUUUCAGCCUUUGAUGUUGUUGAUAACGAGUAUCCAUCCUCACUCCUCAAUCGAAGUAGUUUUCCAGCUGGUUUCAUCUUUGGAGCUUCCUC
rnacentral:lncRNA from 1 species